UACAGAGGUCUCAAGCGUUGUUCGGAUUCAUUGGGCGUAAAGGGUGCGUAGGUGGCGCGCUAAGUCAGGUGUGAAAUUUCGGAGCUUAACUCCGAAACUGCAUUUGAUACUGGCGUGCUUGAGGACUGGAGAGGAGACUGGAAUUCAUGGUGUAGCAGUGAAAUGCGUAGAUAUCGUAAGGAAGACCAGUGGCGAAGGCGGAUCUCUGGGCCAUUACUGACGCUGAGGAGCGAAAGCGUGGGGAGCGAACAGG
rnacentral:rRNA from 1 species